rnacentral:rRNA from 1 species
UACGAAGGGCCCUAGCGUUGCGCGGAAUUAUUGGGCUUAAAGGGUGCGUAGGCGGAGGCGUAAGUGCUUUGUGAAAGCCCACGGCUCAACCGUGGAAUUGCAGGGCAUACUGCGUCUCUUGAGGCCGGUAGGGGUCGCUGGAACUGUAGGUGUAGCGGUGAAAUGCGUAGAUAUCUACAGGAACGCCGAUGGUGAAGACGAGCGACUGGGCCGGUUCUGACGCUGAGGCACGAAAGCGUGGGGAGCAAACAGG